AAGUGGCUCCACCGUGGCCUCUGCCUUCUGCACCUCUUGUUGGCUGUGGUACAGUGAGCUGUGCAGGCAGCUUCUUUCUUCUUGAAGGCAUGGGUGCGAGUGGUGGCACCAUUCGACAUCUGGACACCCCAUGGGUUCCUGCUGACUCUGGGGUGACGGCAGGGCACAAGGCUAUCGUCUGAGUCCCGUGGGGGUCAGAAACACGAUAGAAGCCGGGGUCUCGGGAGACUUGUGAAGUCCACGAAGAUCACAGGAAGGGCGGAGAGCGAAGUCGCAGAUCUGACUGUGGUGACCUCCGGAGGCCUGGGAGGGGCUGGAGGGUGGCUGCUCCUUCUGAAGAUGAAGGGAAGCCACAGACUCAUGUAGGAGUCAGAGUAAACAGCAUUAUCUCGGAGGCUCUUCCUUGAUGACUUAUUCAGAGACAACAAUCCUGAUGAUCCCUGAUAGAGGCACCUGCUAAUUGGCAUCCCUGCAUUUCCGGUAACCAGUCCUGACUCCCAGUGUUUGGUGGUUGAUUAUCUGUUAUUUUGUUCUUCCCCAGGAGUGUAAAAAGUCAGGAAGUGCUCAAAAACAUUUCUCAAAUAAAAUGAUCCGGUCAAAUUUCC